GGGAGAGAGGUGGAGUGAGCUGCUUCCUUACUCCCUGCCCCAUGUUGUCUGUCAGAAAGUGAUGUGCUUAGUCAAGAGGAUAACCCUCCUUCUUAGAUGAAGAAGGCUCUUCGGUCAAGGAUAUAGAAUUAACUUCACUCCCUGUUAGAACCCAAGGGUAGGGGCUCAGCGGUUAAAAGCACUGACUGCUCGUCCAAGGGUCCUGAGUUCAAAUCCCAGCUACUACAUGGUGGCUCACAGCCAUCUGCAAUGAGCU
rnacentral:sRNA from 14 species